AGUGAACGCUGGCGGUAGGCCUAACACAUGCAAGUCGAACGGCAGCACAGUAAGAGCUUGCUCUUACGGGUGGCGAGUGGCGGACGGGUGAGGAAUACAUCGGAAUCUACUUUUUCGUGGGGGAUAACGUAGGGAAACUUACGCUAAUACCGCAUACGACCUACGGGUGAAAGCAGGGGAUCUUCGGACCUUGCGCGAUUGAAUGAGCCGGUGUCGGAUUAGCUAGUUGGCGGGGUAAAGGCCCACCAAGGCGACGAUCCGUAGCUGGUCUGAGAGGAUGAUCAGCCCCAGUGGAACUGAGACACGGUCCAGACUCCUACGGGAGGCAGCUGUGGGGAAUAUUGGACAAUGGGCGCAAGCCUGAUCCAGCCAUACCGCGUGGGUUAAGAAGGCCUUAGGCUUUUAAAGCCCUUUUGUUCGGAAAGAAAAGCAGCAGGUUAAUACCCCGUUUUUUUGACGUUACCCAAAGAAUAAGCACCGGCUAACUUCGUG
rnacentral:rRNA from 1 species